AACGAACGCUGGCGGCAUGCCUAACACAUGCAAGUCGAACGAGACCUCCGGGUCUAGUGGCGCACGGGUGCGUAACGCGUGGGAACCUGCCCUUAGGUUCGGAAUAACUCCCCGAAAGGGGUGCUAAUACCGGAUAAAGUCUUCGGACCAAAGAUUUAUCGCCUUUGGAUGGGCGCGCGUUGGUUUAGCUAGUUGGUAGGGUAAACGCCUACCAAGGCGACGAUCCAUAGCUGGUCUGUGAGGAUGAUCAGCCACACUGGGAGUGAGACACGGCCCAGAAUCCUACGGGAGGCAGCAGUGGGGGAUAUUGGACACUGGGCGAAAGCCUGAUCCAGCAAGGCCGCGUGAGUGAUGAAGGCCGUAGGGUUGUAAAGCUCUUUUACACGGGAUGAUAAUGACAGUACCGGGAGAAUAAGCUCCGGCUAACUACGUG
rnacentral:rRNA from 1 species